rnacentral:lncRNA from 1 species
GGGAAGGAGCCUAGAGUGUAUAGUUAUGGUGGUUAUAAAAAUCAAUUAUAUGUUAUGAAUGGAAAGGGAGAGACUAGUCAAUAAUUUAUGGGUAGAGACUCAUUGGUGUUUAUGGAAUUUAGUGAUAGUAAGAAUGCACACAUGGGUAAGUAAGUAUGAUAUAAGGAAGUGGAAUAUGUAGAUUAGAUCAUAAUGGGUAUGUUAUAAGAUUAAGACCGACUGUCUCUAUUAUAUGAAUUCGCCCCCCC